rnacentral:rRNA from 1 species
GACAGAGGGGGCAAGCGUUGCUCGGAAUCACUGGGCGUAAAGCGUACGCAGGCGGCUUUGCAAGACAGGUGUGAAAUCCCCGGGCCUAACCUGGGAACUGCAUUUGUGACUGCAUGGCUAGAGUUUGUCAGAGGGGGGCGGAAUUCCACGUGUAGCAGUGAAAUGCGUAGAUAUGUGGAGGAACACCGAUGGCGAAGGCAGCCCCCUGGGAUGUGACUGACGCUCAUGUACGAAAGCGUGGGGAGCAAACAGG